rnacentral:rRNA from 1 species
GACGAACGCUGGCGGCGUGCAUAACACAUGCAAGUCACGGGGGCCAGCAAUGGCAACCGGCGAACGGGUGCGUAACACGUAAGCGACCUACCUCGAUGUGGGCAUAGCCGGCCUAACGGCCGGGUAAUUCCGCAUGUGAUCCUUGAGGGGCAUAUCUCGGGGAUGAAACCAGUAAUGGGCAUUGAGAGGGGCUUGCGGCCUAUCAGCUUGUUGGCGGGGUAACGGCNCACCAAGGCGACGACGGGUAGCUGGUCUGAGAGGAUGGCCAGCCACAUUGGGACUGAGAAACGGCCCAGACUCCUACGGGAGGCAGCAGUGGGGAAUCUUGCGCAAUGGCCUAACGGCUGACGCAGCGACGCCGCGUGGGGA